UACGUAGGGUGCAAGCGUUAUCCGGAAUUACUGGGCGUAAAGCGUGCGCAGGCGGUGAUGUAAGACAGAUGUGAAAUCCCCCGGGCUCAACCCGGGAACUGCGUCCGAUACUGGAAGGCUUGAAUCCGGGAGAGGGAUGCGGAAUUCCAGGUGUAGCGGUGAAAUGCGUAGAUAUCUGGAGGAACACCGGUGGCGAAGGCGGCAUCCUGGACCGGCAUUGACGCUGAGGCGCGAAAGCCAGGGGAGCAAAGCGGG
rnacentral:rRNA from 1 species